AACCACCAAAUGCUUCACUGAAGGGAGUGUGCUCUCUGCUCUGUUUCCACUCAUUCUUUUACCUGGGAACAACAAUGCCAAUGUUCGCUGCGACGCUUGGCUCCUUCCCGUCGAUCUUCUUCUUCUCACAACUUUCAUCUUCUUCCACCGAUGCCUUCGUUUCUCCUUCAAUCUCCUUUCCUUUCUCGAAUCAAUUCAAUCUCUCCAAGUAUGCCCACAAAUUAUCCAUCGUGAGAGGGCGGUGGUGUUACACUGCUAAAGUCUCCGUCUCUGGUAAUACACAGAUUGAUGAAAAUCCUGAGAGUCAACUCCAUGAUGACGACCCCUCUUCCUCACCGGACGCCGCUCGCCUAGCUCGGGCUGCAAAGAGAUAUAAAGAGAGUGGGUUCAUCUAUGAUGGCAGAAUUGAAGGUUUUAAUGGUGGAGGACUGCUAGUUCGCUUUUAUUCUCUUGUGGGGUUUCUCCCAUUCCCACAGUUAAGCCCAUUGCAUUCAUGUAAAGAGCCGCACAAAUCUAUCCAGGACAUUGCAAAAGGUUUAGUUGGUUCCCUCAUGUCGGUGAAGGUAAUUCAAGCAGAUGAGGAUAAAAGGAAAUUGAUCUUCUCUGAAAAGGAGGCUGCCUGGUCUAGAUAUUCUGAACGGGUCAGGGUUGGGGAUAUCUUUGAAGCAAUGGUUGGUUCUGUUGAGGACUAUGGUGCUUUUGUUCAUUUGCGUUUCCCUGACGGUCUUUAUCACCUCACUGGUCUAGUGCACAUCUCAGAAGUGUCGUGGGAUCUAGUUCAUGAUGUGAGAGACAUCUUGACAGAAGGUGAUAAAGUGAGGGUCAAAGUCACUAGUGUUGAUAGAGAAAAAUCAAGGAUUAGACUAUCAGUAAAACAGUUAGAAGAAGAUCCACUUCUAGAAACUCUUGAUAAAGUAAUACCUCAGAGUGGCUCAGAUGAUCUUGAUUCUUCAAGUGAUGGCACUGGCAAUGCUAUUGAGCCUCUUCCUGGCCUUGAAACAAUACUUGAAGAGCUACUCCAGGAAGAUGGGAUAGAUGAUGCCAGAAUCAGCCGUCAAGGUUUUGAAAGACGGGUGGUUUCACAAGACUUGCAACUAUGGCUUUCUAAUGUAAAUUUCUCAGUCCUUUCAGGAAAUACUCCAAGGUGUUUAUGUUUAUGUCUGUUUUCUGUUAAUUUCUGUGUCUAAUCACAGGCACUCCCACUGACCAAAGGUUCACUCUCUUGCUCGGGCCGGAAGACAGGUGCAGGAAAUACAUCUGACAACGUCUCUUGAUCAGGAAGGUAUCAAAAGGGCAUUACAAAGAGUAUUGGAACGUGUUCCCUGAUCCUAAUGAUCCUUACUGUUUUUGCACAGUUAUCCUACUUUUAAGAGUUCAAAUUAUUGCACUAAAAAGAGUUUAAAUGUGGCCCUCUCUAUGUGAUAUCCACGUCCAUAUUAUGCCAUAUCCAGAAACACACAAGGAAGUAGUGAAUCUCUCUGUUCUCCUUUAUAGGACUUUUAAGGAUAGAAAUCUUCUCUGUUCUUUGUCCUGUGUUCUGGUGGUACAAAUGUUGUCACAUGACUCAUGAGAUCUGAAAAUUAACGAGUAAAUUGGUGAUCUUGUUUUUUUGUA